AGGAUUAAUUAAUAUGUUUAAUUAAUCAAACGAAUAAGUUCGUUAAAGACUUCGGGAUAGUUUUGGACCUUAAGGCCCAAUGGGCUUCGAACGUCAAGCCCAUUAACUUAAGUUGUAUGACAAUUUAAUGAAUAAAGAUUCAUUAAAGCCCAAAAGCCCAAAUCCCUUUAAAUGGCCGGCCAUAUGUGUAUGAAUUAGGGUUUUGGUUGUUUAGGUCACUUAAAGAAGUGACUGUAUAAAUGACUUUAUAGCCAAAUAUUCAUUAAUGUGAUUAAGGGUUUAUUUUGGGGGAAAAUUGGUGAGAAUUGUCUCUCCAUUUUCUCUCUAAAGAGGCCAACACCUUGGAGGGUACAUCUAGCAAUCCUACUACUCCAAGGUCACUCAUUUCUUCUACAAUCAAACCUUGGUGAAGAGACUUAGAGGUUCUCAAUUUUGGGAACUUGGAGAACCUAUUCUUCCAUCCAAAUCCAUGGAUCUAAGAAGCAAGGAAUGAAGGCCCUAUCUCUUUGGGUGAUUAGCCUUUGCUUAUGCAAAGAGGAAUCUACAAAGGUAAUAAUUUCAACUCACUUUGUUUUGAGUUGAUUAUUGGUUCACCAAUCUACUAGGCUUUGAAUUUCAUGGUAAUGUUUUGUUUUUGAGUGCAUGCAAGCAUGAUUCCGCCUUUAAUUGUUAAUUGCAUGCUAUAUGAUGUUGCUCAAAUGAACAUGUUUUUCAAAAAUAAAUCCUUCAAGUGGUAUCAGAGCCUAGGUCUAGUAGUUGGUGAAUCCUUUUGGGUUUUGUAGUUCAUAAGUUUAUGAUUUAAAAGUUGUAAUUGUUACAAGCUUUAUUCUUGCUUCUUUGAAUGUAAAUUUUGUUUGAAAAUUUGCCAUCUCAAAUGUUGUAGAUGUAGUUCAUAUGAGGAUGAAUAUUGGAGCUAAAAUUUGGUGCCAUGUUUUUGGGGAUUUUCGGCCAAAUCCAAAGGGUGAUUUUUUGGGUUCAUGUUUGUCUUGUUAAAAAUGUUUUAAGGUGACUUUUGGAACCCCUAAGUACCCUAGGAUGUUAGCCUCAUUUUGAAUGAUAAAAAUUUGAGUUUUAUUGCAUGAAAACAUUCAUGGAGCUCUUAUGGGUUUUCAUGGAUGUUCUUCAUAUGUUCUUGAUGUUCUUGCCAAGAACAAACAAAGGUUUGUGUUUUGAUUCAAAGUUUUGAUUUAUUUCAUAAAGUUUAUGAUAUAUGUUUUUCAAAUGAUUUAUCAUGUAUUUAAAGUGUUAAAUAUUUGUAUAAAUGAUGAUGGAAACAUCAAUCAUCAAAAACAUAUAUUAUUUUUAUGAAAGUAUUUAAAGUGUUAAAUAUUUGUAUAAAUGAUGAAAGAAAUAUCAAUCAUCAAAACAUAUAUAUUAUUUUAUGAAAGGUGAAAGCACUACUUGAUUGUUUUUGACAAAACUAAUAAAUCAAAAACCACCACCACUCCUUUUUAUCCCUAAAAACCGGCCACCCUAAUAAAAAUAGGGUAUUUUUGGGGCUUUUAUGCAAUUACAUAAAGUUUUGAUACUUUUGUGUAUUUGUACUUUGACCCGAAAAGUUUACGUUUUUGACGUUAAGGCCUAAAAACGCUAAAGGACAAAUUGUUUUUGCUCCUUUAAUGAAGUUUUGAAUUUAUUUAAAUUUUGGGUUCUAGUUGUAUUUACAUGAAGUAGUGACUUUUGUGUUUUUACAAAGUGACCCCAAAAGUUUAAUGUUUUUCGCAAUAUGGCCCAAAAAGUUGUGGUUAUUGCAUGAUGGCCCAAAUAGGAUGAGAACAAAAUUGUUUUGUCUCUUUAAAUGAGAAUUGGAUUUUCAUUUUGUUUAGCUCCACUUAAAUCAAUUUUAUGGAUACAAAAACCAAAUGAAAAUGUUGCAUUCAAUUAAUUAGUUAAAGCGUUAAUUAAUUAAAGGAUGAUUAUGAACCUAAGCCUAAUAUAAUUGAGCUAUGUGAAAGGCGUUUCAAAUUUGUUUGAACCAUGGGAAUGUGUAGAUUAGAUUUUGGUUGUAAUUUGAUUUGAUCAAAUGUUGUAAAAGGGCAUAAGUCCUUCUUUACUUUAAGGUAAUUUGUUUUAUGCAAAUGUUGUAAUGAGCAUAAGCUCAUCCUUUACUUUGAAGUAUUUCUUUCUUGCUUUAUAUGAUAUGCAUGAAAAUGAAGUAAUUGGGUCCAACGCCCCUAAGACAACACGCCUUAAUGUGAUUAAACGCGUAACUAAAAUCAAUCUCCAUCCCUAGACCGAGAUUCAACACAAGGCUCGUGUUGAAUCUAAACAAAGGUUCAUAGUCAUCCUAAGGCCCUAAGGCAACUAUAUAGUCCAUCAAAUGAAUGCAAACCUUAUGUUAGUAGUAACAUAUACUCUUGCUUUAAAAACCGUUUUAAAAGCAUAGUGGGAGUAUUAUGUACAACUAAAACAAUCAUAUGGACCAAUAGUUGUAAUAGGACCAAAAUUGUUUUAAUAGAGAUUAAAAUGUAUAUUGAUAUGUGAUGAGACCUAAAACCCUCAACCAAACCAAUAUUAAGUUGAAAGCGUGAGAGUGCUUAGAACAUUCUUUCGUGGCCUUCCACCAUGGUAGUUCCAAUCGUUUAUGACUUGUACACCGGCUUCACCCUAUCAUGGGGAAGUACAAAGUGCAUGCUUAUACUCAGGAGGAGUCUAUAUACAUAUGAUGAGGUGAGUGUAGGCAACGAGGAUGGCCAAUAUCGUAUCAUCGUGAGGCUAUUCUUGAAACCCUUCAUGAACUAAGCUUGGUGGGAAUGACUUAACUAAGUGCAAUGGAACCAAUAUCAUAUCAUUGUGAGGUGACAUUCUCUAGAGGCCAAAUAAGAUGGGUACUUGCAUGAGUUGCAAAAGAGUAAGCGUACUCUCUCAUUAUUAUUGUUGCUAGCCAUAUAUCGUAUCAUCGUGAGGUGGGCUUGGUAAUAGUGAGCCUCCCAUAACCUACUAGGAGUUUCAUCCAAAACUCUCAAAUUCCUAUGAGGGAUAUGGAAUUUGCCAAAAAUAGUGGGUGGUGCUAUUUGAUUUAAAGACCCAAAUCAAAUGGCUUAAAAUCAAUCAAUUUAUAUUCGUUAUGUAUUUGAUUACCAAUAUAUUUGCAAACGCUAUCCAACACUUGACAAAUAAAAGCCGAACGUUUAGUUUACGGACUUGGUACUACAAAACCAUAGAUUGUCUUUAAUGGCUUGUAAAUGUACCUAAGUAGUCUCAUCCUCACAAUCUUCCUAUUGAUAAUGUAUCAUUAGAAGAAUAUGUUAGAAAAGGUCUAUCAUAGAGAGGACAACACUUUUAAUGUCAUAAUUCUUCAAUUAUAAAUUGUUGUAUGAAGAAAUAAGAGUUGCUUUGAACAACCCUUAGUCAAUACAAACACUUAGUGCUUAUUUCUUUAUUAAUUGAACAAAGAACUUGAGAAGUAAGUACAAGGGCAUGGACACUUUAUGUGCCAUGAUUCUUCACUUACAAAUUGUUGUAUGAAGAAAUGAGAGUUGCCUUGUACAACUCUUGAAAGUUUGUAAUUAUGUUUAGAACAUAAUGGUUGGUUGACAAAAAUAGUCCAUUAACAUGGACUUAUGAUGAUUUUGAAUCAUUAAGUGUUGAAGUGUUAAACCACUUAACGAGACGGAAACUAGGCAAGGACUUCACCUUUGUUUCCCUAUCCUAAUGGUUCACUAAGUUUAUGGUAAACUAUGUAAUGAACAAUAACCACAUACUCUCCAAAUUGUUUGAUGUGUAUAACACAAUUGAAAAAGGUUUCAAGAGAGAUAGUGGGAGUUUAGGGACCAUGACUAAUGUAGUCAAAGGUGAAAGUCAAAUAAAGAAGAUAAAUAACUCCAAGGGAACAAACUUUCUUUAUGAAAGGAUGGACAUUGGAAGGGGUAUUUGCAAGAAAUGUCUUGCAAGUAUCAAGAACACACCUUUCGAAGGUGUUGUAAAAUGUUCUUGAAUAGUUCAAAACAGUUGGUUCUUCUACUUGAAUGUAUGAUUCCGUAUUAGUAACUAUGUUUUACAAAUCGUUGUAAAAGUGUGACUAAUAAGAAGUAGAAGAUAUAUGAGAGAAGAAAAGGUGCUUCACAUACGGAACGUGAAUAAGAUAUAGAUCUCUGCGAAAGCAGAUAGUACUUACUUCCUCAUAUGAACUACCAAAGAAAUUGGAUUAUAGUAAUCUAAUUGAUUGUCUCUAUAGUAGAGAUGAUAUGGUAGUGUUAACUGUUUAGAAUAUAAUGAUGCUUAAAACCCAAAAGGUUGCAAGGUAGUGACUAAUCCCAACUAAAUUGUGAUACCUCUAAAACAUAAGUUACGAGUUGGUGAAACAAGGAUGUUUUGGAUCGUUAGAUCCGGAUCCAAUACCUUCUUGUUAAAAUUGUAUAGAGGCGAAAUGUUCGAAUCUUUAUUCUUUUGGAAAGAAGAAAGAAUCACAAAGUUGUUGAGGUUAAUUCACUUAGAUGUUAGUGGCACUUGUCCACAACAUAAUACUACUCAUGUUAUAUGACAUUCACCGAAGAUCACUCUCGGUUGGACUAUAGUUUAUUUUGAAUAAACACAAGUCCGAAUACUUUGCAAAAGGUUUCAAAGAAUUCAAGAAAUGUAAAUAGAUGAGUAAGAUAUCUAAAGUAUUUACCUCCUUAGAUUUGAUCCAAGGAAAGGUAACACUUUAGAUGAGUUUCCUUGAAAGAUAUCAAGGAAAAUAGCAUCAUAAGAUAAUGUAUUUCUCCAUUAGGAGAAGAACGAACUUGAAUAAGAUUUAGUUCGUUAAAUGUUAUCUAUUACCCAUAUAUAGGAUAUAUACUUCUAAAACAAUAUGAUUGUCGAUGAGAAGAUCUUCCAAAUAUUUUCAUGACUCCAUAAGAUGUAGUUGGAAAAGAAAGACAAAUCUUAAGCAUGUUAAAGAUUUGGGGUUGUGUGCUAAUAAGCAAUAUUUGUUUGAUAACAAUCUUGUAGGAUAUCCUUAAAAUAACUUUUGGAUAUCGCUUCUAUAAACCAACUAACAAAUGUUUGUUUUGUUGGGUAGUUCAUUGUAAUUCUACAAUGUGAUUUGCCUAAAAGCAAAUGAACGAGAGAUAGAACUCAAAGAAUGGGUUCUUUGAGAGACAAGAUAGUAAUCAACAAAUAUAACAACCUAGUUCCUAUACCACAAGCUCCAAGGUAGUCGAUAAGAAUGAAAAUCCUUAUGACUACAUUGAGUGCAUAUACGAUAUAUACUCAAGGAAAUGGUAAAGUACCAUUUGACUCGAAAUAAUGAAACCUUCAUAGCUAAUUGGUAGCUUAAGGUAACUACAAUCAAAGAGAAUGGUUGACUUUGAAGAAACCAUCUUUGAGAUAGGCUUGGUUUCAAUUAAUUCGAAGAUUGCUAGCUACAACUAAAAUGGUGAUUCAAUGUUUUGACAUAAUAUGGGUUUCCGAAACCAUUAUUAAGAUAGUCUUGAUAAUAUAUGUCCAAAACUAUAAAUCACAAGACAUGUAAGUUGUAGAGAUCCAUCCAUCAUGGAUCUUAGCAAGUUAGUGGGAGCUAUUUGCAUUUUAUGAGGAAAAAAGGAUCAAAUCGUUUGAUUUCUCAUCAAGAUGUAAAUGAAUCUUUUGUUUACGAGUUUUACAAAAGAUUAGUGGGAGUUAAUCAUGUUCCUAAAAUUUAAGUAUAUAUGAUAUAUUAAUUUUGGAAAUGAAAAGAAUACUUCUUCGUUAAAGUUAUGACUUUAAUACAUUAUAUGAAGAUAGAAUGUAUAUGGGAGAUAUAGUCUAUAUACAUGGGAUGGAAAUCUAUAAUGAUAUAUUUCAUGAUAUAAUUGGAUUAUAUCAAUCCCUAAUAAUAGACAAUGGAUGCUAGGAAGUUUCUCAUAUGAUGAUAAACUUCAAUAAGAAGGACGAUUCUAGUGAGACUAGCAAGUUGCCCUUUCUCAAAGGGAACGUAUACCUUUGACUCCCAUAGAAAUAAUGCGUAAAUUGAAUCCUUUAUGCAUAAGCAGAAAGGUGAUUUAUGUAUUUCAUAUUGUAUGAAAAACAUUGAUAUGAGUUGUACCUAGAACGGUACAAGACGAUAUCAGUGCAAGCCCAGGAUCAGAACCGUGGCAACUGUCAAGUGAGUCCUUAAGUAUUUAAGAAAUACUUAAGGAUAGAUUCCUCAAAGAAUGAGGAAGAAUUAGAGUAACGUAAUGGAAGCGUAAAUGUAUUAGAUUAUGAAUCUGAUCCAUCAUUGGAUGUUUCUUCAUUAUGAAUGAAGAGAUAAACAAAUAUCUCUUUAUUAUGACUAAAGAGAUAUUUGGAUGGAAACAUUAAAGUAAUGACUUUAGUGUGUUCCAUUAUGAAUGCAAGAUAUAUUGCCAUAUAGAAGUUUACAACAAUGUUGUUUGGAUGGGAAAGUUCAUUUAUGAACUCUCUAUUCGAUUCCAACCAGAAAGUGUAUGACACUAAUGGGGCGAUAGCUCAAGCCUGGGAAUCAAGGUCUCAUCAAGAUCCGAACACAAAUGAGAGACUGAACCACAUGAUUGAGAAUCAUGUAUAAUGGUGACGUCGUUAUUCUCAAGGUUGCUUCUGUGGAUAACACAUAUAGAUAUCCAUUGUCUAGGCCUACUUUUCAGCCAUUUAUGAAAUGACUACAGAAGAGGUAUCAUCACUGAUGACCAAUGCUGAUUGGCUCUAGUGCAAGUGGGAGAUUGUUGGAAAUGUGCCCUAAAACCAAUCAUAUGAUGAUACUUUACGGACAUUUCAAAUGUUAAACUAAUCUAGUUUAACAUAUAAAGGGCAAAGAUUAUUGUUUGAGCCGUCUCAUAUAAAUGUUAUAUGCUUAAACGAUAAAGUCCAAGGAAUAUGUGAUUGGGAGAAUGCAAUCUAAUGAAGUUAGAUUAAUGAGACCAUUCUUUCGUGGACACAUCCUAAAUGUUCCUGAUCAUAGGAUUACCAAUUGGGCAUUGACAGUCCGUUAAGAUCAGUACGUACUGUGUCUUCUCUCAGGGAGAGUGACUAGUCUCGAGUCAUUGGUGUGUGUGACAUCAAGACAAGUACGUAGGUGCUCAAUAAGAGAAUGAGUUCACUGAACGUGAUCAACGAAGAGUUCUUAUAUUCCAUGUCACAUGAGAACUCAUGGUUGGGAUAAUGCAAAGUAGUCCUUUGACCUGAGGCAUCACAGUUGUCUUGUGGUUAAGUCCUUAAUCUUUGAUUAUGUCUAAUUCACCCCCUCGGGGUGUCACGGCAUCGUUGGGGUUAAGCCACUUAGCUAUGGAGACAAGUGAAUGCGCAACAAGGGAUCUCUAACCUUCAAACAGUUGAGGGAGAAUACUCUAUGAUAUGAUUUGGAAUCUCUGGCCAGAGUAUGAAUGAGAUUGGGGAAUGCGUUCCAAAUCACAUUCAAGGAAAUCAUAUAAGCAAACGAUUCACAUUGGAUAGUAGACAUGAAUAAAUAAACUAUCAUACAAAACAAUGUGGUCAAGAGUAUUAGAUUAGAGAAGGACCGUAUUGCAUUUGUAAUCCCGAACUGAAUAGGUUCUCUAACCUCUUCUGAUUAGCUUGGGUAACCAUGAUAUGCUGCUAGGUGUCACUCAUGGUUUGUGGAAGCCCUAAACGUGUGUAAAUCACUAAAGGGAGAAUUGAAAAUAGUUUCAAUUCACAAUCGAUGUAAAAUGGUUUUAAUCGCCCACUACCUCGCUAAAAGGAACCUAAUGGAUCGCACACCGUAAAAGGUAGAGAUUGGAGAUUAAACGGAAAUGAGUAAGAAUGAUUAAAUGGUUUAAUCAUUUAUUUAUGGCAAGGAUUAAUUAAUAUGUUAAUUAAUCAAACGAAUAAGUUCGUUAAAGACUUCGGGAUAGUUUUGGACCUUAAGGCCCAAUGGGCUUCGAACGUCAAGCCCAUUAACUUAAGUUGUAUGACAAUUUAAUGAAUAAAGAUUCAUUAAAGCCCAAAAGCCCAAAUCCCUUUAAAUGGCCGGCCAUAUGUGUAUGAAUUAGGGUUUUGGUUGUUUAGGUCACUUAAAGAAGUGACUGUAUAAAUGACUUUAUAGCCAAAUAUUCAUUAAUGUGAUUAAGGGUUUAUUUUGGGGGAAAAUUGGUGAGAAUUGUCUCUCCAUUUUCUCUCUAAAGAGGCCAACAC
rnacentral:lncRNA from 1 species